rnacentral:rRNA from 2 species
CUUUUAUGGAGAGUUUGAUCCUGGCUCAGGAUGAACGCUGGCGGCGUGCCUAAUACAUGCAAGUCGAGCGAACAGAUGAGAAGC